GACGAACGCUUGCGGCGUGCCUAAGAAAUGCAAGUCGAGCGGGGCAGGAGCUUCGGCUUCUGUCUAGCGGCGAACGGUCGCGUAACACGUAAGCAACCUGCCUUCAUGACCGGGACAACAUCUCGAAAGGGGUGCUAAUACCGGAUGUGGCCUUCUGGGGGCAUCCUCGGGAGUCUAAAUCAGGCAACUGGCAUGGAGAGGGGCUUGCGGCCUAUCAGCUAGUUGGUGGGGUAACGGCCUACCAAGGCGACGACGGGUAGCUGGUCUGAGAGGACGGCCAGCCGGACUGGGACUGAGAUACGGCCCAGACUCCUACGGGGGGCAGCAAUUAGGAAUCUUGCGCAAUGGGCGAAAGCCUGACGCAGCGACGCCGCGUGGGGGAGGAAGUCCUUCGGGAUGUAAACCCCUUUUGUCAGGGAGGAAGAAUGUGACAGUACCUGACGAAUAAGCCCCGGCUAACUACGUGCCAGCAGCCGCGGUAAUACGUAGGGGGCGAGCGUUGUCCGAAGUCACUGGGCGUAAAGCGCGCGUAGGCGGGCCGAUAAGUGGGAAGUGAAAGGCUGGGGCUCAACCCCAUGCAGUGCUUCUCAUACUGUUGGUCUUGAGGUCGGCAGGGAGAAGUGGAAUGGCUGGUGUAGCGGUGAAAUGCGUAGAUAUCAGUCGGAACACCGGUGGCGAAGGCGGCUUCUUGGGCCGCACCUGACGCUGAGGCGCGAAAGCCAGGGUAGCGAACGGGAUUAGAUACCCCGGUAGUCCUGGCCGUAAACGAUGGAUACUAGGUGUCGGGGGUAUCGACCCCCCCGGUGCCGCAGCUAACGCAUUAAGUAUCCCGCCUGGGGAGUACGGCCGCAAGGUUGA
rnacentral:rRNA from 1 species